AGUGCCGGCCAUGUUUCCCUGGUAGUGCUCGCCGCCGCCGUGACUUCAUGGCCACAAAUGCUCCCCACAACGACCUAUGGCCUCCCAGCAUUCACCAACCAUCAUUGCCUCUUCAAAUUCCCAAGAAACUGAGCCGCCGCCUUCAAGUUUAAAAAGCCAGCCGUGUUGCCAUGAACAGCCAGCGCCCCGCCUGCUCAAAUCGCCAUCUAUGGCACCGGUCUUCUCUUGGGUAGCACUUCCGCUUGAAAGCUACUUGACAUUUUGCCUCCCCCUCUAUUUGAUUGAAUUUUUAUUGGAUUAUGCGUACUGCUCACUCAAGCCCACUGAUUUAAUUGGGUUUCGAUUGGAUUGUGAAUCUUGGCCGCUCAAGCAAGAAGAAAAAGGUUGUCAUCAUGUGUUUGGCAUACAGCAGUACCUGCUUGGAGGUUGCAAAGAUGGAUAACCCGAAAGUUCUGAAAACCCCGCGAGCCAUCAAGUGGAGGAGGGUAGAUCUUCCAGAGUGACAAACAACAGAAGCAGAGUUUGUGCGUCUUCUCAUAUCACAUACAACCAAACAUCGCAUUCGCCAUUUUUUAUUUUUAUCCUCAAACAGCAUUUCAGGCAACAAUUCUGCAGCAGACAUCUAAGAAGGCAAGAGGAUAAACAAUGAAAGAAUUAUCCAAGUUUUUAGUACAGUAUAUCACAAUCCUGAACACAGUAAUUAUAUUUCUAAUGAUGCUGAUUUCUUAAC